UUUCAGCUAAGAAAGCUAUGAAGUCCAGGGAGGAGAUGGUGGCAUGGGUUCAAUUACCUGAAGGAACGACUAAGUGGUAAUUCUACAGGGAAACAAACUUUCCUUCAGUGCGUUCGCCAGCAAAGCCUCUCUCUCCACUUCCUGGGUGUAAACUUGGGAAAAGCUCCAAACCUCUCUGACCCUGAGUUUAUCCCACUGGAGAUGGAAUAAAACCAAGCCUUCGGGUCGGUGGAAAGGCCAGAGUAUAAUAACGUAGGCAACUAAGGUUGAAAAUGAGUGCUUCUCCAACAAAACCAGAAGCAGCCUCUGAGAUUAGCCGGUUUGUUCCCACCUCGAGCUGUGUAUAAGACGCCUCAAUUCUGGCAGCAUCACCUUGAAGGCAGACUUGUGUUUUAUGCUCCCUGUAUGACAAUUAUGAUCUGGCGCAAUGCAGACUUUUCAUGUCUCUGACCAAGUUAAUGUGGGGUAUGAAGAAUGGAGUACACUAACAAUUAUCUAACUUCUUCCCAGAGGUCAAUUAUUCAGCUAAAAAUGUUUUAAAGAGCAGACAAUAUUCCUGGGUCCUGAGGAAUCCAGGAAAGUGAAAAUGUGAUGUUUUCUGAAUGAGCCAGUGCAUCCAGAAAAAGAUAAAAUGCUGAGGAAUUGCAAGGAUACAAAACAGAGAGCUGCAAGCCCUCUAUGAAAUGAAGAGAAGAGGCAAAUGGCUUUCAAAGAUCAAGGCUCAUGGAGAGAAACAAGAGAGUAAUAGUCGUGGGUGAAAAGUGAGAAGUUGAUGUGUCUCUGACCCCAUGGAGAAGGAAUGUAAACCUUGAUUCUGCAAGUUCUGCCCUGAUGACAAUUGUACCAACCUCAAGUGUGGAAAGUCAGUGGGGUUCUCCCAUUUAGUGGUAGCUGAUAGAACUUUCCUUCAGAGGAUCUCAGCUCAGCCAUCAUCACCCUGAUGACCAGACUAAAGAGAUGUGUAUAUUGAAACUUCCAGGCUGACGUCAAGGUGGUAGAUGGGCACCUUUCAGACCUGGUUCAUUCUCCCAUAGAAUACGGACAUUGAGCGCAUGUUUGUCUCGCAGGCAAGGCAUCAUUACCACAGCAGAAAUUCCUAAUACUGGAGAACCUGGCUCCAAGAAGAAUCUUUGCCUGAUACUAUAUAUGAGCUAGGUUUACAGUCUAUUUCCCUGCGACUCUAACAGCAUGAUAGGUCACCUGUCACACCCUGUUUCUCAAAAAUACUAAUUUUCUUAGCCUUUCAUGACAUCAAACUGUUCUUCACCCCCCCCCACACACACACACACAAUGACACCACAGAUAUGUGGUAAAAUACAAAUAAUAGCACAAGAAAAAGUAGACAGUACAUUCAUGUUAGGAUGAACUUAGCAACAAAGGCAAUGCUUUCUAAAAAUGUAUAGUAUGAUGGAGAUCUCCGUCUUACCCCUAAAUAGUCCAUAGUGAAAGUUCAUGACCAGUCAGCUCCUCCACAUGAUGCCUGAGGGGUCAGUGCUCCUUCUGUCUCACAGGUCCAGCACAGCCCUAGUCUUCUGUUUAUCCAGAAGAGGAAGAGCAAAAUGUAAAUAGACAAAAAAGACAUUUCUGCUCAUAAUGUACUGUUCUAAAAAUAGCCCAAUGCAUGAGAAUUUUGCUUUCUUCAAAAAAACCCCACAGAAAUAUUAUAAGACUAUGUUUUUGUUCUAACCCCAUGUGUGGGCUGCAGGGCUGUUUAAGGCUGUCCACACCAGCUGCCUGUGUUUUUCCUUAUGCUCUAGCAGGAAUACGAUUUUACCAGCUCUAGACAGUAUUUCUGAUUAUGACCUUUGGAACUCAGAGACUUUUCAGAGGAUAUAAAGAUGCUUAGGCCCCGAGAGUCAGUGUGCAUUGUUGAUUGGCUAUUGGUUGUUGUUGGUCACUCUUUUUUAACUAGUCUUGCUCAAAGAAGAAAUAACAAGAAGAAUAGAUUAGAUACUCUGACGGCCAAGUCUAACUUGUCCCAAGGAACUCCCUGCCCUAAUCAGCAGGAAGUAGUCUAACAGCAACGUAGUCCCCUUUCCUCUUUAUCUUUUUUUUUUCUCUCCUGUCUUUUGUUAUUGGGUGGAAAUGGUGGGGAAAAGGGUGGAGAAUAUCGGACAAAGAAAAACCCAUAAAGUAGCCAAAGUCCAGCUACAGGCUCACCAUCACACUUGACUGUAAAGGAGGCUGGAGAAGAUACACUUCACAGUACAUUAGCAUCAUUUAUAUACAAAGAAAUAGCUGAAAUAAGAUAAUUAGUAAAGAUCAUGUAUGUAUAUUUAUUUAUGCAUUGUAUAUAAUAUCACUACAUGUAUGUAUACACACAUACAUAUAUAGUAUCCAUAUACACACAACACAUACACAUUUUUAUAUGUGCACAUACAUACACACAUAUUGUAUAUGGUGUGUGUAUAUGUGUGCAGCUUGUUUGUGCUUUGCCCUAGGUGAUUUCGAUGCUGGUGUCUUUCUUUCAUGUUCCUUGUGCAGUGUUGUACAUUCAACCCAUAUAACAGUUAUCUAAAGUGGCCAAGACCACUUUGCAAUGCCAUUACUGGUGCCCAUUUUACAGAUAAAGAAAUACUUGGCAGAAUAUUUUUAAAAGCAUCUCUUCAAGCCUAUUCAUUACAGGGAUGUAAUUUAAAGGGAGCUCUUAUCAUCGAGAGUAGAUAUGUCCUCUUCAUGCAACUUUUAAAAUAAAAAUCUGAGGGGAAACUUGAAGUUACUUUCUUUCAUAAUAUUUUUCCCAUCUCUUCAAAGCUGGAAUUUGUUCAAGUAUAGGCUUGCAUCACACCACAGUGUCAUAAGGACUCUUGUAUGCACUUACCUACACUAGGGACCAGAGAGAAGAGAUGUUUUUUGAG
rnacentral:lncRNA from 1 species